GGGUUGUGAGGUUAAGCGACUAAGCGUACACGGUGGAUGCCCGGCAGUCAGAGGCGAUGAAGGGCGUGCUAAUCUGCGAUAAGCGCCGGUAAGGUGAUAUGAACCGUUAUAACCGGCGAUACCCGAAUGGGGAAACCCAGUGUGAUUCGUCACACUAUCAUUAACUGAAUCCAUAGGUUAAUGAGGCGAACCGGGGAACUGAAACAUCUAAGUACCCCGAGGAAAAGAAAUCAACCGAGAUUCCCCAGUAGCGGCGAGCGAACGGGGAGGAGCCCAGAGCCUGAAUCAGCAUGUGUGUUAGUGGAAGCGUCUGGAAAGGCGCGCGAUACAGGGUGACAGCCCCGUACACAAAAGCGCAUGUGCUGUGAGCUCGAUGAGUAGGGCGGGACACGUGGUAUCCUGUCUGAAUAUGGGGGACCAUCCUCCAAGGCUAAAUACUCCUGACUGACCGAUAGUGAACCAGUACCGUGAGGGAAAGGCGAAAAGAACCCCGGCGAGGGGAGUGAAAAAGAACCUGAAACCGUGUACGUACAAGCAGUGGGAGCACCCUUCGGGGUGUGACUGCGUACCUUUUGUAUAAUGGGUCAGCGACUUAUAUUCUGUAGCAAGGUUAACCGUAUAGGGGAGCCGCAGGGAAACCGAGUCUUAAUUGGGCGUUAAGUUGCAGGGUAUAGACCCGAAACCCGGUGAUCUAGCCAUGGGCAGGUUGAAGGUUGGGUAACACUAACUGGAGGACCGAACCGACUAAUGUUGAAAAAUUAGCGGAUGACCUGUGGCUGGGGGUGAAAGGCCAAUCAAACCGGGAGAUAGCUGGUUCUCCCCGAAAGCUAUUUAGGUAGCGCCUCGUGAAUUCAUCUCCGGGGUAGAGCACUGUUUCGGCUAGGGGGCCAUCCCGGCUUACCAACCCGAUGCAAACUGCGAAUACCGGAGAAUGUUAUCACGGGAGACACACGGCGGGUGCUAACGUCCGUCGUGAAGAGGGAAACAACCCAGACCGCCAGCUAAGGUCCCAAAGUCAUGGUUAAGUGGGAAACGAUGUGGGAAGGCCCAGACAGCCAGGAUGUUGGCUUAGAAGCAGCCAUCAUUUAAAGAAAGCGUAAUAGCUCACUGGUCGAGUCGGCCUGCGCGGAAGAUGUAACGGGGCUAAACCAUGCACCGAAGCUGCGGCAGCGACACUGUGUGUUGUUGGGUAGGGGAGCGUUCUGUAAGCCUGCGAAGGUGGCCUGUGAGGGUUGCUGGAGGUAUCAGAAGUGCGAAUGCUGACAUAAGUAACGAUAAAGCGGGUGAAAAGCCCGCUCGCCGGAAGACCAAGGGUUCCUGUCCAACGUUAAUCGGGGCAGGGUGAGUCGACCCCUAAGGCGAGGCCGAAAGGCGUAGUCGAUGGGAAACGGGUUAAUAUUCCCGUACUUGGUGUUACUGCGAAGGGGGACGGAGAAGGCUAUGUUGGCCGGGCGACGGUUGUCCCGGUUUAAGCGUGUAGGUGUGUGUUCCGGUAAAUCCGGUUCACUUUAACACUGAGGCGUGACGACGAGGCACUACGGUGCUGAAGCAACAAAUGCCCUGCUUCCAGGAAAAGCCUCUAAGCAUCAGGUAACAUCAAAUCGUACCCCAAACCGACACAGGUGGUCAGGUAGAGAAUACCAAGGCGCUUGAGAGAACUCGGGUGAAGGAACUAGGCAAAAUGGUGCCGUAACUUCGGGAGAAGGCACGCUGACACGUAGGUGAAGUGAUUUACUCAUGGAGCUGAAGUCAGUCGAAGAUACCAGCUGGCUGCAACUGUUUAUUAAAAACACAGCACUGUGCAAACACGAAAGUGGACGUAUACGGUGUGACGCCUGCCCGGUGCCGGAAGGUUAAUUGAUGGGGUCAGCGCAAGCGAAGCUCCUGAUCGAAGCCCCGGUAAACGGCGGCCGUAACUAUAACGGUCCUAAGGUAGCGAAAUUCCUUGUCGGGUAAGUUCCGACCUGCACGAAUGGCGUAAUGAUGGCGGCUGUCUCCACCCGAGACUCAGUGAAAUUGAACUCGCUGUGAAGAUGCAGUGUACCCGCGGCAAGACGGAAAGACCCCGUGAACCUUUACUAUAGCUUGACACUGAACAUUGAGCCUUGAUGUGUAGGAUAGGUGGGAGGCUUUGAAGCGUGGACGCCAGUCUGCGUGGAGCCGACCUUGAAAUACCACCCUUUAAUGUUUGAUGUUCUAACGUGGACCCGUGAUCCGGGUUGCGGACAGUGUCUGGUGGGUAGUUUGACUGGGGCGGUCUCCUCCUAAAGAGUAACGGAGGAGCACGAAGGUUGGCUAAUCCGGUCGGACAUCAGGAGGUUAGUGCAAUGGCAUAAGCCAGCUUGACUGCGAGCGUGACGGCGCGAGCAGGUGCGAAAGCAGGUCAUAGUGAUCCGGUGGUUCUGAAUGGAAGGGCCAUCGCUCAACGGAUAAAAGGUACUCCGGGGAUAACAGGCUGAUACCGCCCAAGAGUUCAUAUCGACGGCGGUGUUUGGCACCUCGAUGUCGGCUCAUCACAUCCUCGGGGCUGAAGUAGGUCCCAAGGGUAUGGCUGUUCGCCAUUUAAAGUGGUACGCGAGCUGGGUUUAGAACGUCGUGAGACAGUUCGGUCCCUAUCUGCCGUGGGCGCUGGAGAACUGAGGGGGGCUGCUCCUAGUACGAGAGGACCGGAGUGGACGCAUCACUGGUGUUCGGGUUGUCAUGCCAAUGGCACUGCCCGGUAGCUAAAUGCGGAAGAGAUAAGUGCUGAAAGCAUCUAAGCACGAAACUUGCCCCGAGAUGAGUUCUCCCUGAGACUUAAAGUCUCCUGAAGGAACGUUGAAGACGACGACGUUGAUAGGCCGGGUGUGUAAGCGCAGCGAUGCGUUGAGCUAACCGGUACUAAUGAACCGUGAGGCUUAACCUUACAACGCCGAAG
rnacentral:rRNA from 1 species